GCGCCCGUAGCUCAACGGAUAGAGCAUCUGACUACGGAUCAGAAGGUUGCAGGUUCGAAUCCUGCCGGGCGCG
rnacentral:tRNA from 3 species